AAGUCGUAACAAGGUUUCCGUAGGUGAACCUGCGGAAGGAUCAUUAACACAAGUAAAAAAACAUUUUUACAACACCCUAUUAUGAAUUUAAAUUUUUUAAUUUUAAUUUUAAUUUUUUUUUAUAAAACUACAAAAAAAAUAUUUAAUUUAUUUGACUAACAUUUUUUUAAUUUAUUUAUUUAAAAUUUUAUAAAACAACUCUUAACAACGGAUAUCUUGGCUCUC
rnacentral:misc_RNA from 1 species